rnacentral:rRNA from 1 species
AUUGAACGCUGGCGGAAUGCUUUACACAUGCAAGUCGAGCGGCAGCGCGGGGGCAACCCUGGCGGCGAGCGGCGAACGGGUGAGUAACACAUCGGAACGUACCCAAUCGUGGGGGAUAACUAUCCGAAAGGAUAGCUAAUACCGCAUAAGUCCUGAGGGAGAAAGCGGGGGAUCGCAAGACCUCGCGCGGAUGGAGCGGCCGAUGGCGGAUUAGCUAGUUGGUGGGGUAAAGGCCUACCAAGGCGACGAUCCGUAGCUGGUCUGAGAGGACGACCAGCCACACUGGAACUGAGACACGGUCCAGACUCCUACGGGAGGCAGCAGUGGGGAAUUUUGGACAAUGGGCGCAAGCCUGAUCCAGCCAUUCCGCGUGAGUGAAGAAGGCC